CCUCCCCUCUUCAUUGACUGAUUUUUAUUAUAACAGACAAUUGUUAUUACAACAAAUUUAGAAAGUAAUCUUAGAAUAAGACUAAGCUUUAUCUGAUUUCAUAGAAUAAGCUUUUAGUUUGCUUUGCUCAUUGUUAUUAUUAUAAGACACAAUCUUUAAGAAAUUAGUUUUCUACAAUAAACUGAAAAAAUGAAAGAAAGACCAUAUAGACGAAGAUGAUAGGAAGUCUUGCAAUAGGAGGUCUUGCGUUCUUGGAAUCAAAAUAAGAAGGGAAGAGGUCUGUGAUCGGAGAUAGUGUUUUAUUGAUGUUGCUUUACUCAUUCGAGAAGCCUCCACUGAUAUCGGUAUCCACUGUUUAGCAAUUUCAUUCUUAUCCACCACAAUCAAUAGGAAUCAAGGCUUGAUUAGGUAGCAUUUGAGGUGUUGUCAAUUGUGAAGCUGCUGCUGCUGCUGACAUUCCAAUUAUCUUUCUCAGGCCCAACAAAAGAGCUCCUCCUAAGUUAGUCGAACUUCAGUUGAUUAACCCUUGAGUCAAGUGAUGGCAUCUUCGAGUAGGACGAAGCGAGUGGAAAGAUUGUUUGGAGGGACUAAAUGUAAUAGUAUGUUUUUUGCGUGGAGAUGAAUUGGAUCAAGUUGAUUCAAAGAGAUGGAAAAGAACAUUCGAUAAUGCAUCCAAGGAAUAGCAGCCGUCAAAGACUUCUGAUACACCAAGUUUCACACCAAUUUAUUCAUUGUAAUCAGAACAUUUCCAUUUUGUACAAACCAAACCCUUUAUGUAAAAUAUUAUGGAAUACAAUGUAAACAAAUGAAAUCCCGCAGCAAAGCGCGGGCAAAUCUUUCUAGU